GACGAACGCUGGCGGCGUGCCUAAUACAUGCAAGUUGAGCGCUGAAGGUUGGUACUUGUACCAACUGGAUGAGCAGCGAACGGGUGAGUAACGCGUGGGGAAUCUGCCUUUGAGCGGGGGACAACAUUUGGAAACGAAUGCUAAUACCGCAUAAAAACUUUAAACACAAGUUUUAAGUUUGAAAGAUGCAAUUGCAUCACUCAAAGAUGAUCCCGCGUUGUAUUAGCUAGUUGGUGAGGUAAAGGCUCACCAAGGCGAUGAUACAUAGCCGACCUGAGAGGGUGAUCGGCCACAUUGGGACUGAGACAAGGCCCAAACUCCUACGGGAGGCAGCAGUAGGGAAUCUUCGGCAAUGGACGAAGGUCUGACCGAGCAACGCCGCGUGAGUGAAGAAGGUUUUCGGAUCGUAAAACUCUGUUGGUAGAGAAGAACGUUGGUGAGAGUGGAAAGCUCAUCAAGUGACGGUAACUACCCAGAAAGGGACGGCUAACUACGUG
rnacentral:rRNA from 1 species